rnacentral:lncRNA from 1 species
UAUAACAAGCUGGGGGUUGAAGCUGCGGACUUAGAAGCAGCUAAAUGAUCCAGCAAGAAUUUUUGGUACAUUUUUAGGUAAUUUCCUCUAUUUAUUGCGUCAUGAUUAUUUCUCUUACUAGGGAUUCUGCAGCCUGCAUAGAAUAACUUAAAAGGUUUAGAUGAUGGUUGUCACACCAAUGGAAUUGGAAUGCUUUCGCAAAUUUUCUGCGCCUGCCGGUUUGAUUGGUGUUGUAAAACCCAUUGCGCCCUGCUUAUGAAAUGUGUUGUGCCCGCAAUUGAUUUUUUUAUGCCGCCUUCUCUUUUUGCAGAAAUUUAUCUGCUGUUAAGGUGGCCCGAGAAAUUAUGUGGACCCUGUCCUUUUACGAAGAUCCAGAGGUUGACCUCUCCAGUUGUUUCGGCCAACCAACUCUUUCCAUGUCUUUCGUCUUGAAAUUUGGUUUUAUUAACUCCUUCCAUGUCUUUCGUCUUGAAAUUUGGUUUUAUUAUGUGUUUUUGACUUAGUCUUGC